GAUGAACGCUAGCUACAGGCUUAACACAUGCAAGUCGAGGGACCGGCGUACGGGUGAGUAACGCGUAUCCAACCUUCCCAUUACUGUGGGAUAACCUGCCGAAAGGCAGACUAAUACCGCAUCGUAAUGGAUGGGGAUGCGUCUGAUUAGCUUGUUGGCGGGGUAACGGCCAACCAAGGCGACGAUCAGUAGGGGUUCUGAGAGGAAGGGCCACCACAUUGGAACUGAGACACGGGCCAAAAUCGUACGGGAGGCAGCAGUGAUGAAUAUUGGGCAAUGGACGGAAGUCUGAACCAGCCAAGUAGCGUGCAGGAUGCCGGCCUAUGGGUUGUAUACUGCUUUGGUAUGGGGAUAGGUACCAGAUGAAUAAGGACCGGCUAAUUCCGUGCCAGCAGCCGCGGUAAUUC
rnacentral:rRNA from 1 species